rnacentral:rRNA from 1 species
CUGUUAUUGGUAGUAGAACGCACUGGGAUUAUUUUGUGUUGUUAACACAACUAGUGCUGAGACUGCUGACAUUAGUAACAAAAAAUGGAGAUCAUGGCCGUAAGUCCAAGGGUUUCGUUUUAAAGAGUGAUUCGAUCGCAGUGAAACUAAGAUCA